GAAAAUAUUAAACAUUACUGAAGAAGAAAAAGUUGAUAAUGACUUUGUUAACUUUAAAUACUAAUGAAACUGAAAAAAAAAUUAGCAGAAAAGGACUUCGGCCCACAUGCAGAACACAUUAGUGAUUCAGAGCCAAACACAGGAAAAUGCCCAUCUUCACAUAGAAAAGUAGUUUUUGAGGGAACCAUACAUUAGCAGGUACUUUACAUGCCAUACACCAGGAAUAAGAUAUUGAAAGAGUUUGCUAAACAACAUUAAACUUUCUCAUCAUGCAGCAGGAAAAUAUUAAGCGUUAUGAGUGGUGCUAAAGAUGUAAUGGAAUUGCUAAAGCCCUG
rnacentral:misc_RNA from 1 species